rnacentral:rRNA from 1 species
AUUGAACGCUGGCGGCAUGCCUUACACAUGCAAGUCGAACGGCAGCACGGGUGCUUGCACCUGGUGGCGAGUGGCGAACGGGUGAGUAAUACAUCGGAACGUACCUUAUCGUGGGGGAUAACGCAGCGUAAGCUGUUCUAAUACCGCAUACGACCUGACGGGGAAAGCGGGGGAUCGAAAGACCUCGCGCGAUUAGAGUGGCCGAUGCCUGAUUAGCUUGUUGGUGGGGUAAAAGCCCACCAAGGCGACGAUCAGUAGCUGGUCUGAGAGGACGAUCAGCCACACUGGGACUGAGACACGGCCCAGACUCCUACGGGAGGCAGCAGUGGGGAAUUUUGGACAAUGGGGGCAACCCUGAUCCAGCAAUGCCGCGUGAGUGAAGAAGGCCUUCGGGUUGUAAAGCUCUUUUGUCAGGGAAGAAACACCGGCUCUAACACAGUCCGGGAAUGACGGUACCUGAAGAAUAAGCACCGGCUAACUACGUGCCAGCAGCCGCCGUAA